rnacentral:lncRNA from 1 species
AUCGGGAAGAGCGUCGUGUAGGGCCCCCGAUGCUCAGAACUCCCAGGACAGAGCUGUGGGGUGGUGGCACUUGUCUCCUUGUGUCCCCUUUUGGCGAUGCUCGGAGCACCCAGGGCAGAGCUGAUGGCACUUGUCUCCUUGUGUCCCUUUUUGGGGACGUUUGGAAUACCCAGGGCAAAAUAGAUGGCACUUUGUCUCCUUUUUCCCCCUUUUGGGGACGUUUGGAACACCCAAGGCAGAGUAGGUGGUACUUUAGCUCCUUGUGUCCCCUUUUUGGGGACGCUCAGAACACUCAGGGCAGAGCUGGUGGCACUUUGCUCCUUUUGCCCCAUUUUGGGGACGCUCAGAGCACCCAGGGCAGAGCUGGUGGCACUUUGCUUCUUUUGGGGACGCUCAGAACACCCAGGGCAGAGCUGGUGGCACUUUGCUCCUUUUGCCCCAUUUUGGGGACGCUCAGAGCACCCAGGGCAGAGCUGGUGGCACUUUGCUCCUUUUGCCCCAUUUUGGGGACGCUCAGAGCACCCAGGGCAGAGCUGGUGGCACUUUGCUUCUUUUGGGGACGCUCAGAACACCCAGGGCAGAGCUGGUGGCACUUUGCUCCUUUUGCCCCAUUUUGGGGACGCUCAGAGCACCCAGGGCAGAGCUGGUGGCACUUUGCUUCUUUUGGGGACGCUCAGAACACCCAGGGCAGAGCUGGUGGCACUUUGCUCCUUUUGCCCCAUUUUGGGGACGCUCAGAGCACCCAGGGCAGAGCUGGUGGCACUUUGCUUCUUUUGGGGACGCUCAGAACACCCAGGGCAGAGCUGGUGGCACUUUGCUCCUUUUGCCCCAUUUUGGGGACGCUCAGAGCACCCAGGGCAGAGCUGGUGGCACUUUGCUUCUUUUGGGGACGCUCAGAACACCCAGGGCAGAGCUGGUGGCACUUUGCUCCUUUUGCCCCAUUUUGGGGACGCUCAGAGCACCCAGGGCAGAGCUGGUGGCACUUUGCUUCUUUUGGGGACGCUCAGAACACCCAGGGCAGAGCUGGUGGCACUUUGCUCCUUUUGCCCCAUUUUGGGGACGCUCAGAGCACCCAGGGCAGAGCUGGUGGCACUUUGCUUCUUUUGGGGACGCUCAGAACACCCAGGGCAGAGCUGGUGCCCCCCCCCCCCCCCCC